rnacentral:rRNA from 1 species
AUGAACGCUGGCGGCGCGCCUAAUACAUGCAAGUCGAGCGAACAGACGAGGAGCUUGCUCCUCUGACGUUAGCGGCGGACGGGUGAGUAACACGUGGAUAACCUACCUAUAAGACUGGGAUAACUUCGGGAAACCGGAGCUAAUACCGGAUAAUAUAUUGAACCGCAUGGUUCAAUAGUGAAAGACGGUUUUGCUGUCACUUAUAGAUGGAUCCGCGCCGCAUUAGCUAGUUGGUAAGGUAACGGCUUACCAAGGCAACGAUGCGUAGCCGACCUGAGAGGGUGAUCGGCCACACUGGAACUGAGACACGGUCCAGACUCCUACGGGAGGCAGCAGUAGGGAAUCUUCCGCAAUGGGCGAAAGCCUGACGGAGCAACGCCGCGUGAGUGAUGAAGGUCUUCGGAUCGUAAAACUCUGUUAUUAGGGAAGAGCAAAUGUGUAAGUAACUAUGCACGUCUUGACGGUACCUAAUCAGAAAGCCACGGCUAACUACGUG